rnacentral:rRNA from 1 species
CCUACGGGUGGCAGCAGUGAGGAAUAUUGGUCAAUGGGCGCGAGCCUGAACCAGCCAAGUAGCGUGCAGGAUGACUGCCCUACGGGUUGUAAACUUCUUUUAUACAGGAAUAAAGUGAGGCACGUGUGCCUUUUUGUAUGUACUUUAUGAAUAAGGAUCGGCUAACUCCGUGCCAGCAGCCGCGGUAAUACGGAGGAUCCGAGCGUUAUCCGGAUUUAUUGGGUUUAAAGGGAGCGUAGAUGGGUUGUUAAGUCAGUUGUGAAAGUUUGCGGCUCAACCGUAAAAUUGCAAUUGAUACUGGCAGGCUGGAGUACAGUUGAGGUAGGCGGAAUGUGUGGUGUAGCGGUGAAAUGCUUAGAGAUCACGAAGAACGCCGAUUGCGAAGGCAGCUUACUAAACUGCCACUGACAUUGAUGCUCGAAAGUGUGGGUAGCAAACAGGAUUAGAUACCCUAGUAGUC